UGAAUGUAGCUUGGUUGCUAGAGUGCUUGUCUAGCAUGUCUGAGGCUCUGGGUUCUAUCCCCAGCAUUGCAA
rnacentral:tRNA from 1 species